GACGAACCGUCCAAGCGUUAUUCGGAAUCACUGGGCUUACAGAGUUCGUAGGCUGUCUGGAAAGUUGGGUGUGAAAUCCCUCGGCUUAACCGGGGAACUGCGUCCGAUACUGGAUGGCUUGAGUUCGGGAGAGGGAUGCGGAAUUCCAGGUGUAGCGGUGAAAUGCGUAGAUAUCUGGAGGAACACCGGUGGCGAAGGCGGCAUCCUGGACCGACACUGACGCUGAGGAGCGAAAGCCAGGGGAGCAAACGGG
rnacentral:rRNA from 1 species